AGCCAGCCAGGAAGGAGGAGGCAGCCAGAGUGUUCUCUGCAGCAGAAGACCCUUUGCUGCCCUGCUUAACCCAGACCAGCAUUUGCCAGCAAAUCUGUAAGGUCAAGUAUUAUCUUAUCCCCAUACUGAAGCUAGGGAGCCAAAGCUGAGAUGCUUCCAUAAGUGAGAUUAAGAAAGAGUAUAUCAUCCUGCAAACAUACAGCCCACUUUCACUGGCCGUUCUUUGAAGAUUAUUGUCAGUGACAUCUUGAGGAUGCGUUUGGAAUCUGGAGCAUCAUUUCCGUUGCGAUGGGGAAUUACACUGACUUAUCUGUCAUUGCCAAAAGCACAACAAGCAAUUCAGUGUUAAUGCGAAGAAAAACAAGUUCAUGCAUGUGCAUGCGCGUACACACUAGUAGUUUGGUAAUCUAUGUCAUAGCAUGAGAUCAGCAAUACUACAAGCAAGCAGUUUGCCUUGAUUCAGGGUGGCAUUCCAGAGGGACCAAGGCUAUCCAGCGUGCAUGCCAAAUCUGACAACACAUGACAAGCCGGUCGGCGUGCAGUAAUUUGACUAAUUAUACUGGAUUAGAGCAUAUUAAUGCAAGCUGUUUUCUCCAGAGUUAAUGACCUGCUGACUGGGUUCUGUAAGGCCCCACUAGGUCUACAGACAGCUAAAAAACAAAACCUUGCUUUCUAAGCCCUCGUCAUUUCACAUCAGCAAAUGAGUAUAUCAAACUACUGAGCAGCAAAAUGCAAGCGACAUUUUGUCUGCUACAAACCCAUGUAUUCUCCCCUAACUUUCCACCUCAAGGGUUUCUUUGAUAUAAAAUUAAAAUCUGCUUUUGGGGGGCCUGAAAAACACGGCCCAGAAAUGGAGGAAGGAAAUUGCUUUCCAGAUUUUUUUUCCAGUUAAAGAAACAGAAAGGGGUUGAAUAUAUAUAGAGAAAAAUAACUAAAAGUCAGUAUUCUAUAUCUGUGUGACUUCGUUACAGUCUAUACUUUAUUUUACAUGAUUCUCUCAUUUUUCUACACAAUAUGAAUCUAUCACUGUGAUGUGUUAAUUAACAGUUAUGUGGCCUUUUCAGCCACAGUACCUUCUGUCCAGUUUCUUAUCAUUUUGGGGAAAAUAUUAUUUGUGACUGUGAUUUUAUGUUUUUCCUUCCUUUGAGUUGAUAUCUGUAUAAAUUGUUGGCAAGUUAUAGUAUUCUGAAUAAGAUAAAGACAGCAAUGAAAGACAUUGUCACACAUAUAUUUAUUUAGAUUUUUAACCAAACUUGUCUUCUAAAAUCUCUGAAAAGGUAACAAUUUUUUAGACUGAAAAAUGACUACUUAAACCUUAAAUAAAAUAUAAGACAUUCAAAACAA